CCGAUAGUGUACUGAGGGUGCACCAGCCGAGGGAUCGUCAGCGAUGGUGAAGGUGACCUACCUAGCUUAUAUCGAUCGAGUGCAAGUCACAGAGAAGGAAAAGUGAACAGUAUUAUAUCGUGCGAAGUGAUAGAUAGGCGUCCCAUCUUCUUUUCCAUUAGAUAGUUAAAAUUUAGAGUUUCCUCUUGAUUAUCUCAGCUCUUAAAUCUAAUUAAAAUAUAUAGGUGAGAAAAAUUUGAAGAAAAUUAAACUUAACUUAAAUUGAUUAUAAUAUUAAUUAAAACUACAUCCUAACCUAACUUGAAAUAAUAGCUAAAUACAUAGUACGGAAGAACAAUAGUACGGACAGGUGGCGGGUUGCUGUAUAUAAUCAGCACAUGCAUAAUUUAGGAAUUGAUAGAGCUUGAAACUCCUCAUUGAGCUUUAUACGAACGUUUGAGAGAGCUACCAUUAGAUUCCAUGAACUAUAACAGCUGCAACGUAUGAACAUAUGUAAAGGCUAUACGGAGCGUUGCACGACAAUAAGAAAUACUAAGAGUAAGCAUUAUACCUUUAUAAUCUAAAAGCUACAACUUACAUCUACUCUUAU